UACGUAGGGUGCAAGCGUUGUUCGGAAUUACUGGGCGUAAAGCGGAUGUAGGCGGAACAUUAAGUCAGAUGUGAAAGCCCGGAGCUCAACUCCGGACGUGCAUUUGAAACUGAUGAUCUUGAAUAUGUUAUGGGAGCGUGGAAUUUCUAGUGUAGCGGUGAAAUGCGUAGAUAUUAGAAGGAACACUCGUGGCGAAGGCGACGCUCUAGGGCAAUAUUGACGCUGAGAUCCGAAAGCGUGGGUAGCAAACAGG
rnacentral:rRNA from 1 species